ACGACCUUGCUUGAACAGGAUUUGUUCUAUAGGCUCGUACCUAUGUAUUCUUGAUUCCUAAGAAGACAGAAACCCAUGUUUAGUUGAUGAACGAGGACCAGUUAACCAUAGCGUGAUUAACAGAGCUCAUGGUCUUGACCAUGGCGCAUUGGUGCCAGUGGCGGACCCAGGAAUUAUUUGUUGGGGGUGCGGAUGAGUU
rnacentral:snoRNA from 2 species